rnacentral:lncRNA from 1 species
CUUCGUCUUCGUCUAGAUUUUUUCCAGUUGUUCUCUUCCCGUUUUGUGUGCAUUGAACAUUUGUCAUUUGAUUGCAUUUUUCGUCUGCAUAUUUUUGGUAUUUGUCAUUUGUCUUAGCAUUUUUGUAUUUGUUUAAUUCUUUUGCAGGCAGAAACGAUAUCAGGAUACGCCCACACAACCGCAGCUCUCGCGCCCCAGGCUGUGGCAAAAGUUAACAAUGUGCCACACUUUGUGUGGCUCUUGCCAGCAGCCCCGUCCAACACCCAGUUGCAUUACCAUUUUCUCUUAACUUACCAAUCCAGUCACAUUUUAUUGCUACAAAAAAAGAAGAGGGGAAAGUCACUUAACACUUUCUUGCUCGUUUUUUUAUUUGCGCUAAGCUCUUUGACUUUGUUUGCUCUCUCUCUCUGCUGGACGUUAAUUGCGUUUUGUUUUGGAAAAAAGGUGGCCAAGUGGGAAAGUGGA